UACGUAGGGUGCGAGCGUUGUCCGGAAUUAUUGGGCGUAAAGAGCUCGUAGGCGGCUUGUCGCGUCGGAUGUGAAAGCCCGGGGCUUAACUCCGGGUCUACAUUCGAUACGGGCAGGCUAGAGUUCGGUAGGGGAGAUCGGAAUUCCUGGUGUAGCGGUGAAAUGCGCAGAUAUCAGGAAGAACACCCGUGGCGAAAGCGGCUCUCUGGAACGGUACUGACGCUGAGACGCGAAAGCGUGGGGAGCGAACAGG
rnacentral:rRNA from 1 species